rnacentral:rRNA from 1 species
GACACCUUAAUCCAACAUCGAGGUCGCAAACCCUUCUUUCAAUGUGAACUCUCCAGAAAGAUUACGCUGUUAUCCCUGUGGUAACUUUUUCCGAUAAUCAACAAUGCUGGAUCACUUGUUAGUAAACCAAAAUUCUACAAAUUAACAGAGAAGCUUUUCAUGUUCCCUAGUCACCCCAACUAAAGAUGUAAGAAUAAAUUUAAAAUCCUCUAUUCUAAUAGAAACAACCUCUUUAUCCCACACUAAAGCUCAACAGGGUCUUCUCGUCCCUCAGCUAAAUCUAAGCCUUUUCACUUAGAAGUUAAUUUUUAAAUAUUCCAGGAGAGACAGCUCAGCCCUCGUCAAACCAUUCAUACCAGCCUCCAAUUAAAAGGCAAGUGAUUGUGCUACCUUUGCACGGUCAGUGUACCGCGGCCGUUU